GAGUAGGUGUGGACAAACACAGCUGUGUUUAGAAUGCGCUGAUGUCUUGGUCUGUUUUUCCAACAUUUGUGCUUUGAAAAGAGCUUUCUGCUUGAAAUGCAACCUCUCUUGUGCUUUGGAGCUCACAUGUGUGGUAGAAGAAAGUUAUUCCAUCUCAAUUUCUGAGAUAUCUCAGGGACUGACUUUCUUGUUCUCUUAGUUUUUUUUUUUUUCUUCGUAACACCCAUUUUCUCUGGUUUCAAACUGCUCUUUUCUGGAGGAGAUAAUCGCGGAAAAAUCUUCUGACCCAUUUGCUUGCAAAUGAAGUGUCUUGGUGGGGAGUAAAGAGAUAAGGCAGCCAGCCUGUGAUCCACAUCUUUCCUGAUUCCUGGGGGAACACUUCCAGAAAAGAAAUCAAGUGACCUCGUUUAAUUUCCUUCCCCUUGGCCAUGCAGCCCUAAGCCAGACUGAUCCAGCCUCGCCUCGCCCCUCUCUGCAAGAGACUCGUGGGUACAGGAUGAUUGAGGUGGUCCCAGCCUCCCCAGCAGCUGCUGACUUGCGCUUGGAAAUUCAAUCCUCUCAAGGUAAUUCCUCAGCUUAUAAAAAACUUCUGGCAAUGAAUUCUGAAUUUGAUGCCUCCCACUCCAGGCAGGAUAAUGGCAGGCUUGCUGACUUCCACAGACACUGAGCCUGGAAUGGGAGGGGAGUGUCAUAGUGGAUGAAGCACUUUUAAAGGCAGGACUUUUGUGGCCUCAUUAGGAGAUUUCUUGCUAUUUCUGGAACACUAGCCUCAAUAUUCUCUCUUCUGAGGUCCUCUAGAUCCCAAAUGACUUAGGGUCUGUCUGGGCCAGCUCUAGGCUGCAAGUGGUCAAGCCUUGCACAUCAGAGAGAGCAAAACUGUGCUCUAGUCUUCUCUUGGGUGGAACUGCCGGAGUUGCUUAGAAUGACAUCUUGGUGCUAAGUUUGGAGACCAAACUAAUUGUGAAAAAUAUAUGGAGUUACCAUGUGAGAUCCGCCACCGCCUACAAGCUGGUGGACAUGGACACCAUCGCAAAAGCAGAUGGGCUACCAGGCUCAGAGAAAUCCCUCUCCGUGCACAAAAGUUGCCUAGAGAUUCUGAAAUAACCAUCUGCCUUUAAGAUUCUUUGGAUCAUUAUUCUCAAGUUGUAAGAAUUUUCCCUUCUUUCCCUUCACCACUCCAAAGACUGUCCAGUCCCCAAAGGCAGCAAAUCCUUGUGGUGGUUGCAGAUGCUGCUGUGACAGUCCUCAGACUCUUCUUGGGGAUGGCUUUGCUAUGGGAGGCUUGGAAUGUCCUUGUUGUCCCCUAAAGCUUAGCUCGAAGUCUCAGGAUGUGUCUUGGCAAGUGCAAAAUCCAAUAGUCAUUGAACCCUUGAUAAUCUUUUAUGCCCUGUAGAAGUAUGUUUUUAUUCAUCCGUUUCUUCAGGAGGUAAGAAAUAAAGCUGUUCCAUUCUAGGCAUAAAUUAGCAUUUAUAACAAUGCAGUGCAAAAAAUGUAAUUUAAAUAGAACUGAUUAGAAUUUUGAUAGGGCACCAAGGAACUUCUAAACAAAUGCUGAUCAGGUAAUGAGUGGAACAAGUCAUUUAUUUUAGUGGUUCAGUUAUCUGUUCAGUGAUUGGGUCACAGUUUCCCAAACAUGUACGGUGACUGUUCAUUAAUUAUGCACUUCUCACUCAGUAAUUGUCCAAUUUAACUAAAAACUGUGAGCUUAUAGGCAAAGCCACAGAGGACAGCAGAGGGAAAAAAUAACAACCUAGAUAAAAGUAUAUUUUCUUUUUGUAAUAACAUUUACUAAUUCAAGGACUUGGCGAGAGGUGAGCUAUUGUUAGACUUUGGCCUUGGUCUUG